GGGGGCGAUUCUGGAUUCGACAGGGAUAGUAGAGUAUAGACUGCAAGCCGAGGCGCUCUGACCUCGUUAAUCAAGAGCAAACCUAUAAGUGCCAACACGAGCACACCCAGCCUCGCUCUCGCUGCCUAAUAGCGAGACAGGCUAACCGAUUACCUGCGGGUAAUCCGUCUGCCCCAACCGUACCUGUUCGGGUGGCAAGCAGGCGUGACAAAGAACAGGGUGCGCUGCUGCGAAGCCGAUAAACGGCAGCAAAGAUAACAUCGGCUAGCGCGUGGUCCGCCUUCGUCGGCUCAGGCAUCCACCCGCG
rnacentral:tmRNA from 1 species